GUGACAGACUCGCCUGGGUAAGAAUAACUGCUCGAGCUUAAAGAAGAAACACGGUAAGAAAUUACUGGAUACAGACUCUGACACUGAGUGACAUUACAAAGGAAACUCAGAAGUGGAGAAGUCAUCAUCCCACAUACUGGAACUCAAAGACUACGGAAAGGGGAAUGGGAAUGGUUGACAUUUGCAAGGGCCAUCCAGGAACAGGAUCAAUGCAAUUGAAAAUGCAAGUAAUUGGAUGCCUGGUAACAACAGGUACUUUAAAUGCAUGAACCCAGGACCGUGGGCCUAGGAGUAGUACCAAGUGAGCCUGGUUCAUCCACUUCAACCUGAUCAAGAAAAUUCCCCUCAUGUUUUAAAAUCACUUCCUCUUGCUGGCAAGCUCUCUUCUGCAGAUUCUUCCUCUGCCACUGGCUUUGAUGAAUUUAUGUCCAACAUGGGAGAUAUUCAUGUGACAAAAAGCUGGAGAAAACUUUCAUACGACACCCACAGAGAUGCUGAGGCUCUCAUCCCAAUGGUGUCAAGGAAGAAGGCAUUCUCUGCUAUCAUAGAAGUGAGCUUAAAUUUGAAUUCUUUCAGACCGACUCCAUAGAGAAGACCCCAAGGCCAAUCAACAUCUUUCUGAAGCUUAUGGAGUACUAGGAAACCAGCAGUUCACCAGUGUUGUUCCUGUUUCUGACCCACAGACACUGGUAGUUACUAGUGUGCAGUGUGUACGCUGCUAAGUUUUGAAGUCAUGGAACGACAAAUGACUAGUGCAAAGAACACUGAGUUAAAGAAGAACCAAAGGUUUUCGAGACAUUAGAUAUGCAAGAAUAUACUUGUGCUUGUGGUCCAUAAACUCAACAAACUCAUUUUGCUUCUGUCUGGCCCCAAGAGACGCUCUGUUUACUAAAUGAAUCGGAUGGAACAAUUAAGGGGUCACCAGCAUUGUGGAGAAAUUCAGAGUAGAGACAAUUCACUAACGUCCUUGUUUUUAUAGGAAGCAUUGCUGCAGAAUAUAGCUCUAUAGGACUAAUGGGAAUAAUAAGAGCACAAAAGAAUCCAGGUAGAAACAUUUAGCUGUGAGAAUUAAUAUGGGUCUAAUUAUGGGGUGAGUAACCGGUGAGGAAUGGUAACUAGAACAGGAGCAGAGUGUAACUCCCAGCAAUCUGUGGAUUUCAAGGGAGAACCUAGUGUUCCUAAUGAUAAGACAAAGGUACCCAAUAUUGGAAUAUCUGCUACUAUAGGCUCUAGAGAUAUAUGCAUAUUUGUAUAUAUGCAUAUGUAUUCAUUAUGUUUUUAUUAGCAUGUAUUAAUGGAAUAAUGGAUUUCUCCAUAAUCCUUCAUAUAGGUAUUUAAUAUACUUUGACCAUACCUCUCUCUCAAUCCCUCUCACCCUGCACCUCACCUGGACAGCACAGCAGAGCUACCACAGCAUGAGUAGUAUAGUAGCACAGGCUCUGGUGGUAUGAGUAGGGGUGUGGGUGAGUCGACCCAGAGCAUGUAAGGGAGAUUUGCCAUGAGAUGGCAUGGGCACUGGAGUGAUGGCCUCCUUCUCCUCACCCCUCACAUCUGUUACAGUUGGGAAACCUGCCCUUGGGGCCAUGAGAACAGGUGAGCUGACCCUGUCCCUCACUGGCUAUACGCAGCACUUAGGAAAGCAGGUCCUGUACUUUGCAUAGGCAGCACAGUAGAGUUGGCCUUGAUGGCAGGGCCACUGGUCAACCACUCCAAAGGACAAAAGUCCAAGAGAGUUGACUCCACCACUUACCUGCCGUGAGGUAGUAGGGUGAUGCAGCCCCUCUCCUCUCCUCUCCCACUUGCCACCUACAAUAGAAGAAUUGACCCCAAGAGCAUGUGAGCAAGAGAGCUAGCCCUGUCUGUUCCCUGGCUGUAGCACUCUAGAG
rnacentral:sRNA from 1 species